rnacentral:ncRNA from 1 species
CGGCCUGAGGUCGGACGAGGCUACCCGCUGAAUUUAAGCAUAUUACUAAGCGGAGGAAAAGAAACUAACGAGGAUUCCCUCAGUAACGGCGAGUGAAGCGGGACGAGCCCAGCGCCGAAUCCGGCCGCUUAUGGAGCGGGACGGAAU